rnacentral:rRNA from 1 species
AGCCAGACUCCUACGGGAGGCAGCAGUGGGGAAUAUUGCGCAAUGGGCGAAAGCCUGACGCAGCGACGCCGCGUGAGGGAUGAAGGUCUUCGGAUCGUAAACCUCUGUCAGCAGGGAAGAACGGUCACUGUGCUAAUCAGCAGUGAAUUGACGGUACCCCUUGAGGAAGCCACGGCUAACUACGUGCCAGCAGCCGCGGUAAUACGUAGGUGGCAAGCGUUAUCCGGAUUUACUGGGUGUAAAGGGAGCGUAGGCGGCCUGCCAAGUCUGAUGUGAAAUACCGGGGCUCAACCCCGGGGCUGCAUUGGAAACUGGCAGGCUGGAGUGUCGGAGAGGCAGGCGGAAUUCCUAGUGUAGCGGUGAAAUGCGUAGAUAUUAGGAGGAACACCAGUGGCGAAGGCGGCCUGCUGGACGAUGACUGACGCUGAGGCUCGAAAGCGUGGGGAGCAAACAGGAUUAGAUACCCGUGUAA